AGUGGGAUAACUGGGUCAAAUGGUGGUUCUAUUCCAAAUUUUGUAAGGAAUCUCCAUACUGCUUUCUAGAUUGGUUGUAUCAAUUUACAGUCCCACCAGCAAU
rnacentral:pre_miRNA from 1 species